AAGCAUAUAAGUAAGCGGAGGAUAAGAAACUAAAUAGGAUUCCCUUAGUAAUGGCGAAUGAACAGGGAUAAGCUCAGCAUGGAAAUUGGGGCCUCUGGCCUUGAAUUGUAGUCUUGAGAUGUGCUACCAACGGAGGCGCAGAUGUAAGCCUCUUGGAAAAGAGCGUCAGGGAGGGUGAGAGUCCCGUAUGUCAUCUGCAGUUCUCUGUGCACGGUACAUUUUCCAAGAGUCACGUUCCUCGGGAUUGGAGCGCAAAUUGGGUGGUAAAUUUCAUCUAAAGCUAAAUAUUGGUUCGAGACCGAUAGCAAACAAGUACCAUGAGGGAAAGGUGAAAAGGACUUUGAAAAGAGAGUUAAAAGUGCCUGAAAUUGCUGAAAGGGAAGCGAAUGGAACCAGUUGUUCUUGGCGAGUAUUGGUGUUGUCUAAAGUGAGGGCUUGCCACUUCAGCGCAAGUGUGGUGGCAGGUUUUGAUCUGGAUGCGAUACUGCAUCUCGCCUUGCAUGUCAACGUCAGUUCAUAAUUGAGGAAAACUCUAAGGACUUGGUAAUUUGCUUCCGGGUGACUGAAUGUCUCUAGUGGAACUCAUUUUUGAACUGCUUUUGUAUGUCUUGUUGCAAUGCUCUGCGUGCUUGCCUGUGAUCCGGUGCUUGCUCUGUUUGGCAUGGGGUUGCUGGUGCCUGGAGCAUGUCCUUGACAUAAGUACGAUGACGAAAUGGUUUUAUUCGACCCGUCUUGAA
rnacentral:rRNA from 1 species